GUGUAAAGUAAACUAGCAGCCCCGAAAGCAGGCUUAUAAAUAUAUUGUACAUAAAAUCGUUUAGGUCUGGGUUCGCCAAUAAAUGUGUUUAUAAUGACUUUAAGUAAACGUAGGUAUCCUUCCUCUAUCCAUUCAAAAAAGAGUCGUUUGUUCUGGAAUUCAUUCUUUAUUUCUUGAUUACGCAGAAAUUACAUGUUCACUCCGUGUCCGAUCCAUUUACGUUUGUAUGGUAAAAACCAGAGAUUUUCGAAUGUUAACUUUUGAAGCCACAUAUAUCUAUGUUCGAUGACACUUGUGGCAAAAUUUGCAAGACGUUCAUCUGUUUAUACGACAUGAUUUACGCAAAAACUGGCAUUGAAAAUGUGCCAUUGACAUACAAAAUGUCCGACGUUUACGAGGUGACAUAAUACGGACAGUAUUAAACUAAACAGAAUUAUAUAAGAUAUAUAUAUGAUGAGAGAGUUACUCAGUUACAAGUGAUCAUGAGUUAUUAAAGAUGCACACAACUCAUAAAUUAACAAGCGAAAUUGAAUUCAAUGAAACUGAAGAAACGAAGAAGUCGUCUAAAUCUUAGCAAAUGCCUAAGAAAGUAUUUUUCACCAGUUCUUAACUUGUACCGUGGAACAGCCACCCUGAAAUAGAGAAAUUGUUAUAGGAUUUACAUGACUGUAUUUCAUGUAUAUACACAUACAUGUAGGAAAAGUAUGAAAUUUUAACUUGAAGUGAGAAAUAAACAAUUGAAUUCACAAUGAAGAAGAAGUAGAGUAUAAUAUAAUGGUACAACGGUGACAGCAUUGUGAAGGUUUCCAGAGUUAUCGACAGGUGAUGAACAAAAUCAUUGCCAUUUAUUAGGAACAGACUCAAAUAUUACAUUUUAAAGACACCACAAAUUUAAUAACUGAACAGACCAUUACUAGUACAAGUUUAUGAUCCGAUUGAAGCAUCCUAAAGACAGCCAAUUUGGUCUAUGAUAAGCUGAUAAUGCAUUAAAAAAACCCAAUCUGUUAUCAUACAUGUACAUUGUAGUUACUUUUAUUUAGAUCAACAUAGUGGUGGAUUAUUAUCCCUAGAAAAGUUGACUGUUGGCGAUUUUUUAACUACAUGUACGUAACAUGUACAGGUUCCAAUUAUCUGUAUCUUUAUUUAUAAAUCCAAGAUACCGAUUUUUGCUUUUAUUCAAGAGGAGAAAGACACACUUAUUAGUGUUGUUAGAGACUCAUAUACAUGUAUUUAUGCAGACAUGUGCUAUACUGUUUUCAACUUGUUUUAAAGUGGAAAAUAAUCAGUUUAUUGAUAUGUAAUGUACAUGAUGUAUAUUGUAAUUAUUAAUGACUAUUUUUAGUGAUAAUCUUUCAUUUGUUUAUGAUUUAUUAAAUGUAUUUAUCA
rnacentral:lncRNA from 1 species